rnacentral:sRNA from 1 species
GAUGCAUUUUUACACAGGCGUCUUCAUUUGGGAUCUAAAAUCUAUUGCCUCAAUUUAAAUUUAUCCAAAAUUAAGUUCUAAUGGUAUUUUGAUGUCCAAAUGUCGUAAGAUAUAGAAGAUUUAUUUGUUUAUUUAUUUAUUUUUUUUACCAAAUCUCUGGAUUAGACAAAAUAACGCCUUUGUAAAAGAGUAAUUUUGUCUAGAAUAGUUUAGUCUUUGAUAUAUGCUGUUCAAGCUAAACAAUUUUCAAUAAUAAAGAAAAUCAUAUUGGUCGUCUAACUCCUCAAUUAAUUAUUUUUCUACAGGGAAUUUCUCCAAAUAUACGAUGAUAAAAUGUGGUCAAUGAGUAUCCAUUUGAAACAUACCAGAAGCCACAAAGCGCAACACAAUCAGUGCCUGCAUCAAAUAAAAAAAAAAGGCUAAUGUCAAACUACAUUGAUUUUGUAAAAACACGGGUCUGUUAAAACAGAAAGAAAGGCUUUUUAUCGUUUCAGUGGCAUGAAAGAUGGAUACAAUUACCAAAAAUAAUGAGCAUAAUUCAGGCUACAACAAUGAACUUGAACUGUGUAUAAAGCAGCUAUCAUCUCAUUUUCAUAACUAACAAUAUCCAUCAUUAUCAGGGUUUGAAUUCUUUUAAGAGCUCAACUAAAAUUUGAAAUUCAACAAAAUCCAAUAAAAUUAUAUACUCCCUCAAGAAUCUAGUUUAUUAUUUAAUCAUUUUUAGGUUCUUUCCCUCAAGAAUUACAGACACAUACAUUCCAACCAUAUUUUAAACAUGAAAGGACAAACAAGAGAAUGAGCUCAUCUAACUAAAACCAAAUAAAAUACACCACAAGGCUCUUACCCAACGUGCUCUUACCCAACGUGUUUUUGAAAAUUUACCCCAUCCAUGUGUUACAUCAGAGGGAUCCUUCAGAGUUGUCCCAACAUAUACCAGGGCAAAAAUAAUUGGCUGUAGAAGGAGCAGAAAAAUAAUUGGCUGUAGAAGGAGCACAAAUGGGCAUCAACAUACUAAGCAAACAAAUGGAAGCAUUCAAGACAAAACAUACAUAAAUGUGCAUCAAGGUAUUUGUAGCAGGUCAAUAUAGCAUAGAAUCAAAGAACGAAGUAUGAAAGUCUAACGUCUUAAAUCCAAAGGACUAUGCAAAGCUAGGGAGCUGCAUUUGAUGUUGCACUCACAAUUCAUUGCAAGAUACAAGAAAGGGAUAUUGAAGUUGGGCGAAACCUUGGCAACUAGAUCCUUCAAUGGCUUUAUAAAAUGAAGCCAUCGGCUCAAAUCCAGCUCUCUCGCUCUCCCAAGAUCCAGGAUUUUGUAAAAUUACGGAUAUAUACGUUUUUCUCCUCCUUCCAGCUUUCCCGCUCUCCUAGGAUCCAAGACUUUGUAAAGCCAAUUACUUCAAUACUUCAACAUCCACCAAAUUGCUGCACCCAAAACCCAUUAACACCAACCAUUUAGGAUGGAAGCACCAAAAAAUAGCAAAUCAACCAGUAACCUUUUUUUUUUUUUUNNNNNNNNNNNNNNNNNNNNNNNNNNNNNNNNNNNNNNNNNNNNNNNNNNNNNNNCCAUCCUCCCCCCGCCCCUCUAGCAAACAUAAGCACAUCAUGCUGUUGAUAUUGUCAUCAUCAUAGCAGUACACAUUUUCAUACUUUCAUACUUGAGAGCUCACAUUUACGGACUUUUAACAUUAUCAAUUGUAAAUAAAUUCUACGUACCAAAUCCAAAAUACAUUAAGCAGGCAACUCUCAACUCGCAACAAACAAGUGCAACAAAUCAACAAUUCAACAUUUAAGUUUCAACAAUUCAACAAAUAUAUUUUGAUUUCACUUCGCAAUUCGCAAAAAAACAGAGAACAAAAGGAUUUCCAACAAAUAGAAUUCAACAUUCAACAAAAACAAUUCAAGUUGUCAAAUGUCAAGUAUGAAGAUGAAGUAUCAGUGAACUCACCCUGACCCAUGCACAACGGCAGUGACAGUGACGGCACUCGACAGCACACGGCUUCGCCUUCGCAGUUUUCACAAUCGCACAUCCCGACUCCGUGACUCGCACUUCGCAAUCGCACGACCAGUGAACCUACUAGCCACUACCCAGUGAACCCACUUCGCACUUCGAAUGGAAAUACGCAGGGGCAAAUAAUGGAAAGAACUCAAGGGUUUGCUCAGCUCUCUGUUGGUUUGAAAUUGAUGGGAUUUGGGAGAAAAUGGGAAAUUGAUAUGGGAUAUGGAUUAAUGGUAAAGUGGGACUGUGGGCAGAGAGAGAGAUGGAAGAGAGGUUAGGGUUUUCUACUUCCUGUGCUGUAACUUGCUUGUCUCGUGAGUUACUUUUGGAAUGAAAUUUGAGGUUCUUUUUCUUUAAACUAAGGGGGUAGCUAACGUUGCUAAAAAAUUCAAAUGAUUUUUUUUGCAAAGUUCAUUGGAUGUUGUGAAAAGUAGCCUCUUUGCAACGUUUGCUGAGUGUUACAAAAAGUAAAAUCUUUUGAAUGUUUUUGCAACGUUUGUUGGCUGUUGUGAAAAAUAAAAAAUUUUGCAACUGCCAACAAACAUUGGAAAAGGUGAGUUUUAGCAACAUUCAGUAAACGUUAUUAUAAAAUUAACUUUUAGCAACGUUUAAUAAACGCUGAAAAAAAAUAAAACUUUUUGCAACAUUCAAUAAACGUUGCGAAAUGCGACAUUAGCAACGUCCAUUUAAAAAAUAUUGUGAAAGCUCAAUUAUAUUAACCAAUGACAACAUUCACUUAAUAAAAUAUUGUGAUAAGACUCUUUUAGCAACAUUCAACUACCGCAUGUUGCCUUUUAUAUGUUGCAAAUGGCAAUUUUUGGUGUAGUGAUACUUUGUGAUUAUUAAGUGAAAUAUUGGAUGGUGAGAGGGAGAGCAAAGGCGAUACUGUUCUUUGUCAAUAGUUGUUGUGGUUAAAAGGAGAGAUUAAAGGAAUAGGGUUUGAAAAUCCUUAUGUUUUGUAAUCAAACAUUUCCCUAUUUUUGGGGCUUCAUAGUGAAUUCGAGCUUAAUUUUAUGGGAUGUUAAAUGGGAGAUUAAGCGUUAGAAGUGGUUGUUGAACUUUCGAUGCUUUUUGGCCCAAAAAUAUUUGUAUUUUUGUUAUUGUUGACAUUUUUCUUUGUUUAUUUUACUCUAGUUUCUUAAGUUACAAACUAUUGAGUCACAAACUCAACGCCUACAAUGGUAUCAGAGAUUUGAAAUCUCUACUUUUGACUCUUUAAGAUAUUUAAAAAAUUGAUUUAGCUUUGAAAUUAUUGAAUCUUUUGUAAGAACAUCAGAUCUGUAAAGAUCUAGAUCUUUAAUUUUUUUGGUCAAGAAACCCUUCGAUUGUAAUUUGAAAUGGAUCUCUGGUAACUUUUGAGAAACCUAUUUUGCACUUUUAUCUCUCGUAAUAGAUUUUUUUUAACCUCUCUUUUAAAUUAUGUUUUUCAAGAAUAUAUGUUGUCAUCAUCUUUAGAGGAUUCUUGAACCCCCCCAUUCAUUUACCUCU